GAAUCAGAAUCUCUAGCUAAAGAGUUAUGGAAAGUUGAAGGAGAGUCGAAUACGAAGAGCUCUAUAAAAUUGAGUGACAAAAUUCUAUCAUUUGAACUUGGAAAAACAGAUGAACUUGAAGGAAAAAAAGAUGGCGUAGACGUUAUUUAUAGUAAUAUGAAAGAUGAUAAAUAUUCUCCUCAAGAAAACUUUGACAAGUGUUCAACUAAAUUUAAUUUAAAAGGCAAUUCAUACAAGGAAAGCGCCUUGAUGGAAGAUUUUUUUAACCAAGCACUUAGUAAAAAUAAACAUAACUAUCAUAAUUUGGCCUGGUCCAAAGUAUUAAGAGACAAAGGAAAGGCCAAACGGUGGAAAAGUUUUUCAUCACGUUUUAAUAAAAAUAGAAUUCUGCGUAAAAAGUUAGAAGGCGAAGCUGUGGACUUUUCCUAUGCUGGAAAAAUUUCCCAGUUAGAUAAAGAAAGUUUUGUUAAAGAGCCUGUAGAACGGAGUGCUGGUCAGCUUUCAAACGCUUUUGUUAUAAAGAAAAGAUUGUGUACUAUUACAAAAGUAGAAAAAACAGAUAUUACAGAUUCUAAUUAUUAUGUUAAGAACGUUGAGUUGAAUGCACUCAAUACUGACGCCAAAAAUGAUAAAAAUAACUUUU